rnacentral:rRNA from 1 species
AUUGAACGCUGGCGGCAUGCCUAACACAUGCAAGUCGAACGCUACUUGAGGGGCAACUCUUAAGUGGAGUGGCGGACGGGUGAGUAAUACGUAGGAAUCUGCCUUAGAGUGGGGGAUAACCUGUCGAAAGACGGGCUAAUACCGCAUAACCUCUACGGAGCAAAGGAGGCUAGCAAUAGCUUUCGCUUUAAGAUGAGCCUACGUCGGAUUAGCUAGUUGGUAGGGUAAAGGCCUACCAAGGCAACGAUCCGUAGCUGGUCUGAGAGGACGAUCAGCCACACUGGAACUGAGACACGGUCCAGACUCCUACGGGAGGCAGCAGUGGGGAAUAUUGGACAAUGGGGGAAACCCUGAUCCAGCAAUGCCGCGUGUGCGAUGAAGGCCUGCGGGUUGUAAAGCACUUUCGGUGGGGAAGAAAUACUCAAAUUUAAUACAUUUGAGAGCUGACAUUACCCAAAGAAGAAGCACCGGCAAACUCUGUGCCAGCAGCCGCCGUAA